rnacentral:rRNA from 1 species
GAUGAACGCUGGCGGCGUGCCUAAUACAUGCAAGUCGAGCGAACGGACGAGAAGCUUGCUUCUCUGAUGUUAGCGGCGGACGGGUGAGUAACACGUGGAUAACCUACCUAUAAGACUGGGAUAACUUCGGGAAACCGGAGCUAAUACCGGAUAAUAUUUUGAACCGCAUGGUUCAAAAGUGAAAGACGGUCUUGCUGUCACUUAUAGAUGGAUCCGCGCUGCAUUAGCUAGUUGGUAAGGUAACGGCUUACCAAGGCAACGAGGCAUAGCCGAGCUGAGAGGGUGAUCGGCCACACUGGAACUGAAACACGGUCAAUACUCCUACGGGAGGCAGCAGUAGGGAAUCUGCCGCAAUGGGCGAAAGCCUGACGGAGCAACGCCGCGUGAGUUAUGAAGGUCUUCGGAUCGGAAAACUCUGUUAUUAGGGAAGAACAUAUGUGGAAGUAACUGUGCACAUCUUGACGGUACCUAAUCAGAAAGCCACGGCUAACUACGUG